GCUGUCGUGGUCCAAGGGUAUGAUACGAUCCUCCCAAGAUCGUGACCCGGGUUCGAGUCCCGGCGACAGCA
rnacentral:tRNA from 1 species